UACGUAGGGGGCUAGCGUUGUCCGGAAUCAUUGGGCGUAAAGCGCGUGUAGGCGGUUCGGUAAGUCCGCUGUGAAAGUCGGGGGCUCAACCCUCGGAUGCCGGUGGAUACUGUCGAGCUUGAGUACGGAAGAGGCGAGUGGAAUUCCUGGUGUAGCGGUGAAAUGCGCAGAUAUCAAGGAGGAACACCAAUUGCGAAGGCAGCUCGCUGGGACGUUACUGACGCUGAGACGCGAAAGCGUGGGGAGCAAACAGG
rnacentral:rRNA from 1 species